GACAGAGGGUGCAAACGUUGUUCGGAUUUACUGGGCGUAAAGGGCGCGUAGGCGGCUUAACAAGUCACUUGUGAAAUCUCCGGGCUUAACUCGGAACGGCCAAGUGAAACUGUCAAGCUAGAGUGCAGAAGGGCAAUCGGAAUUCUUGGUGUAGCGGUGAAUGCGUAGAUAUCAAGAGGAACACCUGAGGUGAAGACGGUGCUGGCUGACACUGACGCUGAGGCGCGAAGCCAGGAGCAACGGAUAGAACCUGGUAGUCAG
rnacentral:rRNA from 1 species